rnacentral:lncRNA from 1 species
AUUGCCAUCAUUUACAACAAAAAAUAAUCCAAAACUCGUACAUUACGCACAUAAUAGUCACUACCAAACUACAAAUGAUCGCGUCAAAUGCAGCACCAUGGGUUGCAUGAGAUUUGUCCUUGAGAUGGAGGAGGUAGAAGUCGAUGAUGCCAUUCUCGCUCUUGUAAAGGUAGCAAAUAAUCCUGAGCAGCUGUUAAAAUAAUACAGCAAUGAGUUUCUAGCUGGUAUAGAAUAAAGAAAUAGGAAAUGAUCACACCAAACAGUACAAUACAUAUUAUGGAGGAAGGGAAACAAUUGUGCCUCAAGAAUGUGCAUCACACUUCUCACUGAAACAAUUGUUGGAAGGCAUAUUUUUGUAUUUUUGAAACAAGUAAAAAGAGUUUACAAUUGUCAAAAGGCCUAUUUUAUAUUCAAAGAUAUAUAAUUCUAAUGCAAUAUCUAUUUUCUAUUUGAUGUUAUGUACAUAAAUGCAAGGUCACCCUGCAGAAUAAAAGUAGCUCUUUUUUUUCAAAUUCACAAACCUCACACAAGGCACAUUCACAAAUAUGAUUACACUUGACUCUCAACUAAAUCAAUUCAUUAGUAUAUAAAACCUCACACAAGGCACAUUCACAAACCUCACACAAGGCACAUUCACAAAUAUGAUUACACUUGACUCUCAACCACUCCUAACAAACAUUCACAAUUUCCAGCAUUUAGAGGCAAUUUAAGUGACGUAGAUCACUACGAAUAGAGAGGCAAUACAGAUAAACUAAAUAUACAUAACUAUUUAAAACUACCACGGAGAACUAGCGGUAUAAACACUUUACUGUGGCAAUACACAACUCAAGUCUAGCAUGGUAAAUUUGGUUCUUAUCCAGUUCUACAAUUCUAGUUAAGCCGUAUCUACAAGCCAUGCAGAAGUAAAAAAGCCAAUAACCUGCAAGUUAACAUAGUACCAUGCCGAAAUUCUAAGUAAUAUCGUAGGCAAAUUGUGUAGUAGCAUGAGUAUUGAGUAUAAAACCACUGAACCAAAAUAGCAACAAUUUUAAACAUUAGCAUACCAUGAACAAGAGGAAGCAACCAUAGCACAGAAUGUGAUCGGAGAGCAGCCUAUGAGCUAACUCAAGUUAACAUAUGCUUCCUAUUACAUUCUACCUAGCGAACAGCAAGAACAAGAUAAACCAGAGCACGAGGGGGGAGCAGGAUGGAAGACCAAGGACUUACCGGAGCCAGAGACGAAGUAGAACUGGAC